CAACAGCAACAGUCCUUAGAAGAAAAGUGAAAAAGUGACUAAGGCUGGGAUGAAAAUAGACAUAGCCAAAAGAUUGAUUUCAUAAACUGCAAGGGGACAAAAAGAGGUUAAGAGCUCAGCCACUGGUCGGAGGCCACUGCAGGCCAAGGAAAGGUUCUACCCUCAUAAUAGAGAACAAGCAGUGCUGGAUUAUCAACUCUAUCAUGACCUGCAACUGAAACCAGAGUGAUUUCU
rnacentral:lncRNA from 1 species